rnacentral:rRNA from 1 species
GACGAACGCUGGCGGCGUGCCUAAUACAUGCAAGUAGAACGCACAGUUUAUACCGUAGCUUGCUAUACCAUAGACUGUGAGUUGCGAACGGGUGAGUAACGCGUAGGUAACCUGCCUGGUAGCGGGGGAUAACUAUUGGAAACGAUAGCUAAUACCGCAUAAUAUUAAUUAUUGCAUGAUAAUCGAUUGAAAGAUGCAACUGCCUCACUACCAGUUGGACCUGCGUUGUAUUAGCUAGUAGGUGAGGUAACGGCGCACCUAGGCGACGAUACAUAGCCGACCUGAGAGGGUGAUCGGCCACACUGGGACUGAGACACGGCCCAGACUCCUACGGGAGGCAGCAGUAGGGAAUCUUCGGCAAUGGACGAAAGCCUGACCGAGCAACGCCGCGUGAGUGAAGAAGGUUUUCGGAUCGUAAAGCUCUGUUGUAAGAGAAGAACGGGUGUGAGAGUGGAAAGUUCACACUGUGACGGUAUCUGACCAGAAAGGGACGGCUAACUACGUG